rnacentral:rRNA from 1 species
AGAGUUUGAUCCUGGCUCAGAUUGAACGCUGGCGGAAUGCUUUACACAUGCAAGUCGAACGGCAGCACGGGAGCUUGCUCCUGGUGGCGAGUGGCGAACGGGUGAGUAAUGCGUCGGAACGUACCGAGUAAUGGGGGAUAACGCAGCGAAAGCUGUGCUAAUACCGCAUACGCCCUGAGGGGGAAAGUGGGGGACCGCAAGGCCUCACGUUAUUCGAGCGGCCGACGUCUGAUUAGCUAGUUGGUGGGGUAAUGGCCUACCAAGGCGACGAUCAGUAGCGGGUCUGAGAGGAUGAUCCGCCACACUGGGACUGAGACACGGCCCAGACUCCUACGGGAGGCAGCAGUUAAGAAUCUUGCGCAAUGGGGGAAACCCUGACGCAGCGACGCCGCGUGAAGGAUGAAGGCUUUCGGGUUGUAAACUUCGGUAGAC